UUUUCUUCAGCUCCUCACAACUCGCCCCAGAAGAGACGACUGUUUAGGACGGUCUGCAGGGCAGUCGGAGACACCUCCAGAGACCCUGAAUGAGAUGGAGACUCGGUCAUGCCCUCCCUGGACAAGGCUCCGUGGAGAAAUGUCCCAUGUCACAAGGACUCAGGAAAGGCAAAUUCAUUCACUGUUGCUGCCCUGACUGCGAGGAAGCCCUUCCUAGUGUCUAGCCCGGGUCUCGCUUGCUUUACCUAUGCACCAUGGACACUGAAAACAGAUUAUCCCUGUCUCUUUACAGCUGCAUUUUAUAUAUUUAAAGACUAUUAUCAUGUCUUCUCCCCCGCAAUUCUAUCCCAUCCAGACUAAACAACCCCAGUUCGUUCACUUGAGCGUUUAACAACAAGUUUGUUUGGCGAAAUUCAAUUUGUUUAGAGCAGUGGUCCUAAUAAUCCACUCCAUGCCAAAAAUAACAAACAUUUAGUAUUUCUCUUCAAAUCUCUAGCUUUAUCAACUGUUUUGACAGUUUGAUUGUAAUUUUUAACCCAAACGGUUAUAAUUAAAGCAAUUACUUUCUGGUUUUUCUAUAUAAAUG